rnacentral:rRNA from 1 species
UACGGGGGCAAGCGUUGUUCGGAAUUACUGGGCGUAAAGGGCUCGUAGGCGGCCAACUAAGUCAGACGUGAAAUCCCUCGGCUUAACCGGGGAACUGCGUCUGAUACUGGAUGGCUUGAGUUUGGGAGAGGGAUGCGGAAUUCCAGGUGUAGCGGUGAAAUGCGUAGAUAUCUGGAGGAACACCGGUGGCGAAGGCGGCAUCCUGGACCAACACUGACGCUGAGUGAGCGAAAGCCAGGGGAGCAAACGGG